rnacentral:snRNA from 1 species
GUACUCGCUUCAGCCGCACAUAUACUAAAAUUGGAACAAUACAGAGAAGUUUAGCAUGGCCCACAUGCAAAUUCAUGAAGCAUUCCAUUUUUUU